UACGUAGGGGGCAAGCGUUGUCCGGAUUUAUUGGGCGUAAAGCGCUCGCAGGUGGUUCGUCGCGUCGUGCGUGAAAGACCCCGGCUCAACUGGGGGAGGUCGUGCGAUACGGGCGGACUGGAGGCCAGUAGGGGGAUGCGGAAUUCCGGGUGUAGCGGUGAAAUGCGUAGAUAUCUGGAGGAACACCGGUGGCGAAGGCGGCGUUCUGGACUGUUUCUGACACUGAAAAACGAAAGCCAGGGGAGCAAACGGG
rnacentral:rRNA from 1 species